GGCGAACGGGUGCUUAACACGAUGGGCUAAUCGUGCCGAGAAGUGGGGGAUAGCUCGCCGUAACAGGCGAAUUAAUACCUACUAUGUGAUCAGAGUGGACAUCCAUUCCAAAUCAAAGUCGGGGCAACCUGAGCGCUUCUUGUAGGAGCCCGCGGCUAUCAGCUAGUUUGUCGAGGUAACGGCUCACCAAGGCUUUGACGGGUAGCUGGUCUGAGAGGACGACCAGCCACGAGUGGGACUGAGACACGGUCAAGACCAAACGGGUGGCAGCAGUCGAGAAUCUCUCAAUGGGGGUAACCCUGAAGGAGCGACGCCGCGUGGAGGAUGAACGGUCUUCGGGUAUGUAAACUCCUGUCAUUGGGGAACAAUGCGCAAAUAUUAACUGUAUUUGCGUUGAUCAAGUACCAGAAGAGGAAGGGACGGCUAACUCUGUGCCAGCGCACGCGG
rnacentral:rRNA from 1 species